AUACGGAGGAUGCAAGCGUUAUCCGGACUUAUUGGGUUUAAAGGGUGCGUAGGCGGGACUGUAAGUCAGGGGUGAAAUACUGCAGCUUAACUGUAGCACUGCCUUUGAAACUGCCGUUCUUGAGUACAGUUGAGGUAGGCGGAAUGGGGUGUGUAGCGGUGAAAUGCAUAUAUAAACCGCAGAACGCCGAUUGCGAAGGCAGCUUACUCAGCUUGUACUGUCGCUGAGGCACGAAAGCUUGAGGAUCAUACAGUAUUAGAUGCCCUGGUAGUCCACACUGUAAACGAUGAAUACGGGAUGUUAGCGAUAGAUAGCUAGUCACUGAGCGAAAGCAUUAAGUAAUCCACCUGGGGAGUACGGCGGCAACGAUGAAACUCAAAGGAAUUGACGGGG
rnacentral:rRNA from 1 species